AACAUGUUUGUUUGGAGUUAUAAAGAAUUUAACCUGCCCCCUGAUUAACUAUUAAUUAAAGGGCCGCAGUAUUAUAACUGUGCAAAGGUAGCAUAAUCAUUAGGUUUUUAAUUGAAAUCUCGUAUGAAUGGUUGGACAAAAGAAAGACUCUCUUUAUAUUAAGUUUUGAAUUUAACUUUUAAGUGAAAAGGCUUAAAUAUUCUAAAGGGACGAUAAGACCCUAUAAAACUUUACAUUGUUAUUAAUUUUGAUUGAAUUUAUGAAAUAAAAAUUUUAUUUGAUUAUUUGUUAUGUUGGGGAGACAUAAGUAAAAUAUUUUUUUAACUGCUUGAUAGUUAUACAAUUAUUAGUGAAUAAGUAGAAGAUCCUUUUUAAGAUUAAUAGAUUAAGUUACUUUAGGGAUAACAGUGUAAUUUCUUUUGAGAGUUCUUAUCGAAAAAGAAGGUUGCAACCUCGAUGUUGAAUUAAAAUAUCUAUAUAAUGGAGAGGUUAUAUAAGAAGGUCUGUUCGACCUUGAAAAUUUUACAUGAUUUGAGUUCAAACCGGUGUGAGCCA
rnacentral:rRNA from 1 species